UACGUAGGGUGCGAGCGUUGUCCGGAAUUAUUGGGCGUAAAGAGCUCGUAGGCGGUUUGUCACGUCUGCUGUGAAAUCCCGAGGCUCAACCUCGGGCCUGCAGUGGGUACGGGCAGACUGGAGUGCGGUAGGGGAGAAUGGAAUUCCUGGUGUAGCGGUGGAAUGCGCAGAUAUCAGGAGGAACACCGAUGGCGAAGGCAGUUCUCUGGGCCGUAACUGACGCUGAGGAGCGAAAGCUAGGGGAGCAAACGGG
rnacentral:rRNA from 1 species